CUGUGAUUCCAAAGAAACACUUUCCUGAGGGAGUGGCGUGUUGGGUGGUGUGCUCCAUUUGACCCUCAUAUAUGUGAACAUAUACAUCCGGAUGGGCCAUCUGCCCUCUGCUAAAAUAAAUGUGAGAUAGCUUACAAGUGUGAAGUCAUUGCAGCAGGUUUAAGACACGAUGAAAAUUUUACAAGAUAAAAGUAACAACAUCUAACUCUUCAUCAGAUUUAACAUGAGAACAAUGUGGGGGGGGUGGGGGGCAAAUUUAAUGCUGUUAUUUUUGGAAGCCAGCAGGAGAAUCAAGUUUAUGGAUAUUUUUGAGGACUAGCUGAUGAAGAGGUAAAUCACGUACUAUCCAUGCCAGCUUAACAACCACCAACAUGAGCACUGAAAUCAAAGGCAAUGUUUGUGAUCAGGAACCACGUGGGCUGUGUAGACCUCAACAAAGCAUAAACAGAGAUGUUUUUACAGUCUCCCUGAAUCCCAGUGGGUGCUGGCAGCCAGAGCUGUCCCCUGAGGUGUGGAAAUCUGGGGCAAUGACCCAGGGCUGUGUUUUGAGGAAAUCCGUUACUGGGGCUCCCAACCACCCCAGCUGGAAUGCAGCUGCCAGUGAGUCAGCAUGGAAACCAGCCCUGAAGGCCACAGCGGUGAGAGCAAAGAGAACAGUGCAGCCAGCUUCACUGGCUGAGCUGCUGGUGGCUGCACUGCACAGGCUGACGUGGUACCUACCCUCUGUUAUUGCAGUAGGAACUCUACAGAGAAAAUCGUGA
rnacentral:lncRNA from 12 species